AGAAUGGAAUAAUGACAUCCGACGAAACAAUACAACCAUACAACGAAAUUUUAGAAACAUUCGAUAACAAACGCAUGCAGAAAUUUGCAGGACGACCUAAGCUUUUUUUUAUCAACGCGUGUAGGGGAAAUAGGUUGCAGACAACCGUUCCGCUUGGGAAUCUGGACCACACUGAGGCUGAUGCAAAACCGUUUACGCCAUCCAAAUUAGUUGCCGAAACAGCCGACAUAUUUGCCGUGUAUUCCACAGUCAGUGGCUUCGCUUCAAUACGAGACACUGAAGAAGGAUCUGUGUUUAUCCAGUCUUGUGUAGAUGUUUUCAAGAAAUACUACGACAGGAAAACUCUUAUCGAAAUGACAACAGCCAUUCAAAGAAAAGUACAAAACAGAGAAUCCUGUCAAGUUUCAGAAGUUAAAACUACGCUUACAAAACAAUUGUAUCUCAAAAACGAGAACUGGUAAGCCAUUGAUCAGUUUUCCCAAAUCACGUUUUUGAAAGAAAAAAUAGUACACUCUGUUUAGACUGGUUUUGUCUGGAAAAUCAUUCCGAUCUUCGUUUCGAAUGUUUCGUUUGAUUUGUUAAAUUGUUUGUAACUUCGAAUUAUCGCACUUCAGUUAUUUGCUAAUCAGAGACUUUCUAUGCCUUAUUUCUAAAAGCAAUUGAUUGCGGACCACCAAUUUUAAUAUAUUUUGAAAUUAAGAUUUGUAUCGAGUUACUAAUAUUUUAUUUUGUUUUGCUGCCUGUACAAUAGUUUUUAAACGCAUUGUACAAGUAAUUGGUUAUUUUCAUGUAAGAUAACGUUUUUCAUGUAAGAUAACGUUUUUAAUAACAACUUUUGCUUUUACGUUAAUUGUUAAGGUAAGAGUUAACCUAUUUACCAUAGUUUGGCUACUUCACACGUGAUGCCAAUCUCAAUAGUGUAUGGGCGUAGAGAAAUGGACGUAAGAAUGAAAAUUGCUUGCCUAUCCGUGUUGGGUAAAUUAAGUCAAAAUCCUCGAUAAAUGUUUUCCUCACCUAAAUCAUGAUUAUAUAACUUAGAAUGUGUAUACGGCAAUAUCAUUUAACUGACUUCAAAAUGAAAGAUGUAGCAAAUUUAACAAUACAAUAUAUUGAUAGAUAGUGUGUUUGAACCGUACGUUUUCAUUUACAAAUGCGUCUGCUACUUUUAAAAAGCCAUAUAUGAUGUCCCGCCUACAAAAUUACAAUGAUAAUUUUUAUAUGCAUAUACGUACUACGUAUAUUUUAUGAACUUAUAUUUGUUUAUUAACCAGGUUUUCCGAAGGAAAAAACUGGUUAUUAGAUUGGCGAAUGCGGGCGGGCUGGCUGGCUCGCUGGCUCGCUGGCUGGCUGGCGGGCUGGCGGGCGGGCGGAACAAGCUUGUCCGGGCCAUAACUAUGUCGUUCAUUGUCAGAUUUUAAAAUCAUUUGGCACAUUUGUUCACCAUCAUUGGACGGUGUGUCGCGCGAAAUAAUUACGUCGAUAUCUCCAAGGUCAAGGUCACACUUUGAGUUCAAAGGUCAAAAAUGGCCAUAAAUGAGCUUGUCCUGGCCAUAACUAUGUCAUUCAUUGUGAGAUUUUAAAAUCAUUUGGCACAUUUGUUCACCAUCAUGGGACGGUGUGUCGCACGAAAGAAUCGCGUCAAUAUCUCCAAUGUCAAGGUCGCCACGACUAAAAAUAGAUUUAAAAAAAAAACAAACUUACAAAGGGGGUUAAUUUUGUUUGUUCAUUUCAAAAGUUCAGUUUGAGUUUUCUCCCUUUAUCAGAUUUUUUUUUCACAAUGAAAACCUGGUUUUGUGACAAUUUUGUCCCUUGUUUUCAGUCUUUAAUUAUGCUAUAUGCAUAAAACAAAUUGCCAUUUGUCAUUCUUGCUACUCCUAUCUAUACAUAGGGGUAAUAUGUCUAAGACGCAGCUUAUAAAACGGAUCUGAUAUUUGGCAUAAAUAAGGCAUUUAUGCUUUAAAAAAAAACUUUUAUACUAAAUAAGAUGUCAUUUAUUCAUAUUUUUUGGCUUGAGAUCCUUAAGGAAAACGAUUUUCUCAAUUGAUACCAAUCCGUUUUAAAAGAACAAAUACUUACCUUUGGCGUUCAUAGACACACACUCGAAAUGAUUUCACACAAGAUUUAUAUAUACUGGAUAUUUUAUACAUUAACCCAUUUGAGACUUUCGUCACGUUCACGAAUAAUUUCGGAAAGUAUAAUUACGUAUUUUGUAAUACUUUUUAGAAUUAAAAUAAUAACUUAUUGCGGGGAUAAUGUAUAGAUAAUAAUUUACCAUUUCGAGAAAACAUAUUUUUAGUGUGUAUUUAUUACUGUAAAAAAGCACUUUCGUCUCAAGAUGUUAAUAACUUUACAUUAAUACAAUUUCAGAUUCUUGUUGCAAAGACGCGUUGAAAUCGCUGCUUAAUGGUAAUGAUAUCAGAGCAGGCGUACGCUGUUGGAAUUUGAUUUCCAUUUCUGGCAACGGCCUCUAUCACUAGAAUAACCUAAUAGUAUGUUCGAAUUCUGAACUCACCUUCUGCGGUGCAUUGAAAGAUAUGACGCGAAAUCUUUACUCUAAUCGAAAAAUAAUCAUCCAGUAAUACUAUUGCAGUUUCGCAUUUGGAUUAAAAGCUUGCGGGAAUGUGGUUAACUCUCAGCCUAACUGGCAAUGGUAUCGGGAAAGGAGUUUAUUCUUAAAAAUUGAUGUCCAUUGUCGGAAAUGGCAUUCAUAACUGUAUAAACCUAAUCCUAGUCUGUUCGAAUUCGGAAUUCAUCGGCUGAGAUGCGCCAAACAUGUAUAGGUCGACCGCGGUGUUGUGCAAACAGCGUGUUUGCACUAGACCACGAACUCCCUUAAGAGUAUUAACAUCUUACGCAUUUAAUAUUUCGAGACUUAAACUCAUUGACUUACUUUUAUUGAUGUCGAUAAAUAAUUUAAAAUAAAAUAAAUCGGCAUAAUACGGAUAAUCAAGAACAACGAUGAAAUAUUACAUGGAUUUAUUACACGUGAAUGGACGUUUUAUAAAAUACAAAUACCAAUAACAACUUAUCAAAAUAAGUAGAAGCCUUCUCACUUUGGUAAUAAGUAUAAUUCAAAGUGGGCAAAAGUGUUAAAGGAAUGACAGCCAAAUUCAUAAACGACUGUUUUAUAUUAUACAUUUUUGUAUCGUGUAAUUCAAAUAUAAGCAUGAAUAAUAUGAAAACAUAAGCAAUUUGGCACUCACCUUUGUGAGGAAAUGUCGAUGAUAAAUAAUCGUACCAUAUUCCUAUUUAAAUAAAAAUAAUCAUUUCAAGAAUAAAGUCAUCUUUUAAAGGCAAUCAUCUUUAUAACUUGUAAAUCAGACUUACACGUCAGGUUCAUUAUAGGCAUUGGACACUUACCUAGCACAUUUUUUGUCUUUCUUGACAAUUGUUCGGAAUGUUUAUUAUUCUUAUGUAUAAGAUGUAUGUUAAUGGGAAUAAAAUUAAGAUACAAUAUGGUCAUAAUAUGUUAUACUCAAUCCAAUAAAUUUGAACGGUUUAUAAACAUAUUGAUUUAUCCACCGACAAAGCUUUGGAUACAUAAUAAGUUGGUGUCGUCAACACUAACUGUCAAAUACAGAAUCCAUUUUGUAAAUUGCACAACACAUGUAUGCACGUGUUUAUAUGAUACUAUGAUGUUGGGUUUUGUUCGUUUGUGUAUUUUUGCAAACGUAUUUUGAUAUCGUUCCUUAUCGGAUAGUUUUGCAUUUAGUUUUUAAAUAUAUACAGGACAGCGUGGUGACAGCGUUAAAAUGUACCUUUUGUUAUAUUUGACAGAACUUCAAUUAGACUCGAUUUAAGCCGGUUUUCUUGUGUAAUUAGUUUGUAAAUACAUCUGAUAAAUGAUCCGUUGAAAGGCAGCCGCCUUAAUAAUUAGUAAGUAGAUUUCCAAUUGAAUCGAAACGCUCUUUUAUUGCUAGGUAUUGUGAACUAAUGUUUUUGAUGGUGGUUAUUUACACAAGUCUCUUUUGCGAUGCAUUCUUGCCAAAGUGUGAGGAUCGGCAUACAGUAUGCAGCUUCGUUUUUCAUGUGCGUGUUAUGCACGUUUUUACGCGAUUAUGUGCCCAUAAACGCCUCGCAAUAGUUACUGAAGUGAAAAAUAUUAUAAUGGAAAAUUGAUGUUUAUUUUGUGAUAACUGAUCUGUUAAAAAUAGUCUAAAAAUAGAUACUAAAAUGUGAAUUGUGACAAUAGUGAAAGGCUGAUUUGUUAUGUUCCGCGGGUUGCUUAUUUGUUUAUGCAAUUGCUUGUUGAAUUGUAUGUAUAGACUCUAAGAAAUAUAAUGUAUGCAAUACUAUAAUAUAUUUGUGCACAAUAUAUGCUAAUGUAAUCUAUUUUACACAACUAUAUUAUAUCUGUAUUUUGUAUAGAUGUGAAACUGGCAUGUAUGAUUAUUACAUUUGAUGCCAUAGUUCAUCCAUAAAAAAUGUGAAUACUAUUUCUUUUUUUUUCUUAUAUUAUUAGCAUAAUUAUCCACAUAAUAUACGUACGAUAAUCAUUUUUUUCCACGAAUGUAAAAAAUAUUAAAGAUGAUUGCCACAUUGUCGUAAAAAUACUUUGUAAACAUUCGAUUUUUAAUACCACUGUCAUAUAUAAUAUAAGGUAGUAUGCACACUACUUAUUACUGUAUAACUACUUUCUUUUCACAUGACCUUUUGACAUGAACAGUAUUAUAUGGUAAAGACUGACGAUGGACUAUGUACAAGGCGUAAUUUAUUUCUGUUCUGUUCUUGACGAUUAAUUAGGACAAAAUUAAUACCAAUAUGGUAAUAUUUUGUCGGAAUUAAAAUACCCACACACAUUGACUUAACAAUACUGGGAUACCUGUGCACACGCUAAUUAAGUUUGAGAAAGUGUUUUCUUUUUUUGUAUAUCAUAGUCCUUAAAAGUUGGAUUGACGUGUCAUUAAAAAAUAUCAUUAUUUCGAGACGUUUAACGUAGGUGAACAACAAUAUUCUCUGCCUUUUAUAACCUACAGGUGACAUUGUGACAUACACACAUUUUAGACAAUAUUACAUGAGCUAUUCCUGUCUAAGUCAUAAAUAAAUGAUACAUGAUGUU